GUCACACCAUGGGAGUGGGUUGCAAAAGAAGUAGGUAGCUUAACCUUCGGGAGGGCGCUUACCACUUUGUGAUUCAUGACUGGGGUGAAGUCGUAACAAGGUAACCGUAGGGGAACCUGCGGUUGGAUCACCUCCUUA
rnacentral:rRNA from 1 species